rnacentral:piRNA from 1 species
UCCUUAGGAAUACUUUCAUUGAUGGAGGU